AAAACAAAAGUCACAGAUUAAGAGAUAGAGAUAUGUGAUAAU
rnacentral:guide_RNA from 1 species